GGUAACGGCUCACCCAGACAACGAUGUCUAGGGGUUCUGAGAGGAUUGUCCCCCACACUGGUACUGAGACACGGACCAGACUCCUACGGGAGGCAGCAGUGAGGAAUAUUGGUCAAUGGGCGAGAGCCUGAACCAGCCAUGCCGCGUGCAGGAUGAAUGCGCUAUGCGUUGUAAACUGCUUUUCUACAGGAAGAAACCUACCCUCGUGAGGGUAGCUGCCGGUACUGUAGGAAUAAGCACCGGCUAACUCCGUGCCAGCAGCCGCGGUAAUACGGAGGGUGCAAGCGUUAUCCGGAUUUAUUGGGUUUAAAGGGUGCGUAGGCGGAAUAAUAAGUCAGUGGUGAAAUCCUGCGGCUCAACCGUAGAACUGCCAUUGAUACUGUUAUUCUUGAAUAUAGUUGAGGUAGGCGGAAUGUGUAAUGUAGCGGUGAAAUGCUUAGAUAUUACACAGAACACCGAUUGCGAAGGCAGCUUGCUAAACUAUUACUGACGCUGAUGCACGAAAGCGUGGGGAGCGAACAGGAUUAGAUACCCUGGUAGUCCACGCUGUAAACGAUGAUCACUCGUUGUUUGCGAUAUAUUGUAAGCGACUGAGCGAAAGCAUUAAGUGAUCCACCUGGGGAGUACGUUCGCAAGAAUGAAACUCAAAGGAAUUGACGGGGGCCCGCACAAGCGGAGGAACAUGUGGUUUAAUUCGAUGAUACGCGAGGAACCUUACCUGGGUUUAAAUGUAGGUUGCAUGAGUGGGAAACUACUCUUUCCUUCGGGACUACUUACAAGGUGCUGCAUGGUUGUCGUCAGCUCGUGCCGUGAGGUGUCGGGUUAAGUCCCAUAACGAGCGCAACCCCUAUCGUUAGUUGCCAGCAAGUAAAGUUGGGGACACUAACGAGACUGCCGGUGUAAACCGAGAGGAAGGUGGGGAUGACGUCAAAUCAGCACGGCCCUUAUAUCCAGGGCUACACACGUGUUACAAUGGUCGAUACAAAGAGCAGCCACUUGGUGACAAGGCGCUAAUCUCAAAAGUCGAUCACAGUUCGGAUCGAAGUCUGCAACUCGACUUCGUGAAGUUGGAUUCGCUAGUAAUCGCGCAUCAGCCACGGCGCGGUGAAUACGUUCCCGGGCCUUGUACACACCGCCCGUCAAGCCAUGGAAGCUGGGGGUGCCUGAAGUCCGUAACCGUAAGGAGCGGCCUAAGGUAAAACUAGUGACUGGGGCUAAGUCGAAACAAGGUA
rnacentral:rRNA from 1 species